CCAAAAUAUGCCCUAAUAUAUAUGCCAAUGAAUUGAUAUUGAAGACUGCUAACAAUUUUCAUUUUCUAUAUUCUUUCCUAUAGAUUAUUCUAUUUGAUGACUCUCCAUCUCAAACAUAAUAGGAGUGUGCUUCCCCUCUGGGUUUCAUAAAUUUCCAUUGGCAGAAAUGAUUUUCCCUGUCUGGCAAUAUUGUCUGUGCUAACCAAAGUAUUUGCUCUCCCAAUUUAGAUUUUGAAGUUGGAAGAAGUGGCAAAAUGUGAAAAGCAAGAAGCAAGUAUUACCAGAGACACCUAUGAAAAAGAAAUCUUUCUGAAGAACAUUUUUAAAGUGCCAUAAUCUGUUCGGUGAAAAUGUUAUUUUACAUGGAAACCUAUUUUGUUCCAUAAAACUAAAUAAACCAUAACCCAGAAGUGCAAUGAGACACACACAGCAUGACCACAUUAUUUCUGAAAGCUGAAGAGUUGCCAGUCUGUUGAUCUCAAACUUCAUGAACCACACAGUUCAGUUCAAAUUGUUUCCCUGAAAUUGCUUUGAGCCUCUGCCAAACAGCCACUGAAGGACUCCGAAAAAUACAAGAACUGAAAGGGGCACAUGGCAGAUACAAUCAUAAACUUUCAUUUCGGAGAGCAGUAAAAAAGGAGAAGAAGAACACACUGGUACUCCAACAAGUCAUAGUUUCUGCCAGAUGUUGCAAAAGUGAGUUAGAUAACUGACCUUUCUUCUGGGGCCUGUGUCAACUUUGAAUGGAGCUUUCAAUUGUACAAUAAGCAUCUGGACAGUUUUGACAUCUUUAUAACACUCUUUGAGUUCUUAAAAAGCUACCAUUUUGUUUAAAGAUGAUUUAUGUGAAGAUUAAAACAAUUACUUAAGUGCUAAGAAUAAUUAAUCCUGUAACUCCAUAUCAAUACCAUUAUCUUCCCAGAACUGGGUCUCUAACUACUAAUCAUAAUCAAGACACCAACUGUCAAAUCAAAUCAAAAUUAAAAUUUGAUUAAUUAUUUGAUGAUAUUAACAUUCAAAUCUAGUUCCUUCUUAGGCCUAAUUUUGUCCUUAUGUUUGCUUUGCACUGAAUUAUUGUGGUUUAAAUAGCCCAUUUUACAUGACAACUUUCAAACAAGAGCAUAAAUUCUCAUAAAAACAGGCUAAGGAAUUCAUAAUGAUAGCUCUUGGCCGCCACCUAAAGGUUUAUUUCUUGUUUUAUUUUACAUGAGACCUACUAUGCAUUCCUUUUAUAAUAAAAUUGUUGUCUUGUCAUCACAUGUUUCUGCAUAAGUACAGGGUAAAAAGACUUUUUCAAGUUUGUUUUUUCACCUUUAUGUAGUUAAAUUAACAGCAUAUAUAAUUAUAUCUACUUUUCAAUUCAUUCAACACAACACACACAAAGAAAACCAGUUUAAACAAGGUUCUUUUAAAUGGUCAGAAAAUUUUUAUGCGUUUAAGAAAUAGUGUGUUCUUAUUAUGUAUCACCCCCCACACCUAAGGCCCGUAAUGAAAGAAAUUUAACUAAACUCACAUUUACUGAACCACUGUUGAGUGUAAUGUAAUAGAAAACUCCUCAAAUUCCAUCAAGAACAUUAACAGAUAUAACUUCUUCAUUACGCUUGAGAGUAAAUGAGAUACUAUAAUUAAUGAUUCUUGCUCCGUAUCUUAUUAUCACUCCCUUUAUUCUCCUCCUAAAAAGCACUUGAUUGAAUCAAGCUAAAUAUCUUCAACGCCUUACUUGGACUCUGACAAAGUCAACCUUGGAGAAUGGAUUUAUGAUAUCAUAGGGAAAAUUAGUUAUGAACUCUACAAACUUCUCAUUUCAAAGCUCAUAUGGAUAGAGCAUCUAUGAAUCACUCAAAUUCUUGUUAAACAUAUAGACAAGUUGCAUUAGCACAUGCACUUUCCAAUAUAUAGUCCAUGUACUUAUCCUUGAUUUAUCUAUAGAACGCCAUUCAUGAUUUUAUUAAUUCAAAAAAUAUUUACUAGGCACCUACUAUGUGCCAGGCACCCAUCAUUAUCAGUGUUCAGUAAAGCAGACUGGUCUUUCCCUUCAUCGAUCUUGUGAAGGCAACAGAAAAUGAACAAAAAAAUAGGUAAAACAUAUAAAGAUACUGGCUACAAAGGAACUGAAUACCAUACCAUUAUAGGGAAUAAUUCUGGGGAGACACAGACCAACAAUAGGUAGGUAAGUCAAGAAAGGCCUCUCCUAGGAGACAGUUUUUAAACUGGGACCUGAAGAAUAAACAGCCGGCUCUGCCAAGAAUAGAGAGGAAGAGGUGGAGGAAAUUGUGUACGCAAAGGACAAAUACUAACAGAGGGCCAAGGGAACUAAAGCAGAGUGAGCCAAGGGGAGUGUCAUGGAUGGGAUUAGAGAAGUAAGCAGAAACCAAAUCAUGCAAGGCCUUGAAAGCUAUGGUAAGGAUUUGGGGUUUUAUUUGAAAGAGAAUGGAAAGCCAUGAUAGCAGGUUAAAAAAGGAAGUAAAUUGAUCUGUUGGCUGCAUGAAGAAGGAAUUAGAGGCAGCCAAGAGAAAAGGGAGAUAGAAGUCUAUCACAGAAAUACAGAUGGGAGAGAUGAUGGUGAUGGUGACAUGGACAAGGUGGUAGCAGUGGAGGCAAAAACAAGUGAUCACAUUUGUGAUGCAUUUUGGAGUGAGGCCUUGGUGGAUCAGAUGACCCUGUGGUUCUGCUGUUCCUUCCCAGCUUGUUAGCAUCUGCUGACAUAACUUUGAAAAGCUGACAUAGUUUUCCAAAUAAGAUUUUAAAUCACACCCAAGCUUUUAAUUCAGUUUUUUUAAGUUUUAAAGAAAAUAUCUUAAUAGAAUGACCAAUUUGUACAUCGAGAAACACUUAUUAUAUAGUAUCUUCUGCAAAUGAAAUAGUCCACAAAACUAAUUUUAUAAAUAAUGGAAGUGUAUCUAUUAAAAGCAAAAGAGCUUAUUUUACUUUAACCACUUUGAAAUAAUUAUUUUCUAAAAUUGUUCAAUAUUUCCUUGAUCUUUCAAACAGAAUAUAUUCAAAAUAGUUAAGCUUCUCAAAAACUCAAACAUAUUGUGAAGAAACGUAUAUGAAACAUACCUCUGUAGUAUGUAGUAUGGCUAAAAAUAGUGAGAGGCAAAAAUGAGUUUCCCCUACUCUGAAAAACUGAAAACUACCUUGCUGUGAAAUCAUUACAUUUUUAUUUUGUUGCCUCAGUUUCCCAUAGUCCUUAUGGUGCCUGACUGUCGUUAUCAACUUCUGACUCAUUCUAACACACUGCUUUACCUUGGCUGUAAGCUGGGAACCCUGCUAUCAGAAAUUCAUGUAAGUUUAUAGAAAAAGACUCUAAGUAAAGGGUAUGAAUUUUUGCAUUCUAUUUGGAUUGCACAGAGGCCUUUUUACACUCUGCUUUCUCAAGUAUAGUUUAGGCCAUUGAAGCUGCUUAAUCAGCAACAUGUAAGUCAAGGAAAUCUCCCUACAUUAGCAUGUUAUUUCCUACAGUUUCAUAAUGCCCCUUGAAAACUGAAUCCACAUUAAUAUAUACAUUAUCAUUUUUAAGUUUCUAUAAAGAAUCCUUCCUUGUGAUACAACUUCAACUACAUAAUUAUAAAUGUUGACUUUUCAUUUGAUGCCUAAAGUAUAGUUUUCAAAUGUAACAUAAAAGCAUUUUAUGGUAAAAUUUGACCCAAAAAGUAGAAUUUAUGUGUCUCAUAAAAGCAUAUAAAAUUUGACCCAAGAAAUAAUUUCAAAUUUCUUGACUCAGACUAUAAUAUUAUCUCUUUUCUUUUUUCAUUUUGACAUGGCAUGGAAACAAAAACAGAUCAAAUGUCCACAGAAACCCAAUCAGCAACACUACUUUCAAAGUGUCUUUUGACAAGUAAUAUGUGCAUUUUACAAAUCCAAAGGCAAUAUUUGAAGUAGCUCUUCAAAACAGCUGCAUUACUCAAAGCUAUCUCUGUAUCAUCGCCUUGUUUCCUGGAAGAAAAUGUGGAAAUGUGUACUGAAAAUGUGUAAAUGAUUAAAGCAUCAGUAUAAAGAAAAAACAUUCUGAAGAUGAAUAAAAAUUAUUUUGAGGGCUUGUUGAAAAACCAAACACCAGAUGUCCACGGCUGACUUGCCAAAUGAAAAUCCUUGAAAGAAAGGUCCAGAAAUUGGCAUUUCAAAUGAAUAUACCCCAGCUGAUUGACACAGGUGUUCCUUUGAGCAAUCCUGGAUAGCACUGUUGUAGACCCUAGGUAAGCAAUUGUGUGAUCUGCUUUUUCAACUUUGUGGUAGAUUGUAUUUUCCAAAGAUGACAGCACCAGUACAUACCAUCCUAUAUGCUCUUCCUAUAAGGUGACAUUGACAUGUCUCCACCAAAUGAUGGGAUUUACGUUACCUCUUCUUGGACCCGGGUGAACUUUUGACUACAGUAGAAGUGACACUAUGUGACUUCUAAGGCCAAUUCAUAAAAUGCAAUACAGCUUCCUCCUGGCUCCCUUGGGAUGCUGGCCCUAG
rnacentral:lncRNA from 10 species